GAGUUUGAUCUUGGCUCAGAUUGAACGCUGGCGGCAGGCCUAACACAUGCAAGUCGAGCGGUAGAGAGAAGCUUGCUUCUCUUGAGAGCGGCGGACGGGUGAGUAAUGCCUAGGAAUCUGCCUGGUAGUGGGGGAUAACGCUCGGAAACGGACGCUAAUACCGCAUACGUCCUACGGGAGAAAGCAGGGGACCUUCGGGCCUUGCGCUAUCAGAUGAGCCUAGGUCGGAUUAGCUAGUUGGUGAGGUAAUGGCUCACCAAGGCGACGAUCCGUAACUGGUCUGAGAGGAUGAUCAGUCACACUGGAACUGAGACACGGUCCAGACUCCUACGGGAGGCAGCAGUGGGGAAUAUUGGACAAUGGGCGAAAGCCUGAUCCAGCCAUGCCGCGUGUGUGAAGAAGGUCUUCGGAUUGUAAAGCACUUUAAGUUGGAGGAAGGGCAGUAAAUUAAUACUUUGCUGUUUUGACGUUACCGACAGAAUAAGACACCGGCUAACUCUGUGCCAGCCGCCGG
rnacentral:rRNA from 1 species